CUCAUACUCCUUCUCUCAAACUCCAGUAGUCGCCACUGCCCUCUCAAAGACUCAAACUCAUCUUCUUCUUCAUUACAUUUACAUAUUUACUCGUCUCUCCUCCAGUCCUCCUCCCGUCCUCUCCUCUCAAACUCGUUUGUUUUCUCUAUCUUCUUCUUUAUGCAUGCGCCAUGGUGUAACCUUAGCAGCCGGGGAAGUUGUUUUGGCUUUACAGCAACCUUAUGCUCUUUCCACAGGUGAUUCCGUGAUUGCACUUGGCCAAUUGAAGAAUGCUUGAGCCUUAAAGUUGAGGGGAGAUGCCUAUUUACAACUUUCACUUGUUAUUUCUUAAUCACUUUUGUACUUGACCAUUAAAAUUUAAAGGAACAGUUUGUAUUUUAUGAUAAUGUAAUUGGUGAUUAUUAGU